UGGGGUGUGGCUUAGUGGUAUAGUGCUUGCCUAGCACACAUGAGGCAGUGGGUUCAAUCCUCAGCACCACAU
rnacentral:tRNA from 1 species